rnacentral:rRNA from 1 species
UACAGAGGUGGCAAGCGUUGUUCGGAAUUACUGGGCGUAAAGGGCGCGUAGGCGGCCAUCUAAGUCAGACGUGAAAUCCCCCGGCUUAACCUGGGAACUGCGUCUGAUACUGGACGGCUUGAGUAUGGGAGAGGGAUGUAGAAUUCCAGGUGUAGCGGUGAAAUGCGUAGAGAUGUGGAGGAACACCAGUGGCGAAGGCGACUCUUUGGCCUGUAACUGACGCUGAGGCGCGAAAGCGUGGGGAGCAAACAGG